rnacentral:tRNA from 3 species
GGGGCCGUAGCUCAGCUGGGAGAGCGCUUGCAUGGCAUGCAAGAGGUCGUGAGUUCGAAUCUCAUCGGCUCCA